AUUGAGGAAGUAUUCAUAAACGUCACAUUUUAAAUGUUACGCAUGGGGACAUUGUAAUUGAAAAACAAGAUUGGCAAUAUGGCAAUUCGUUUACUAUUAUAGCAUUUUCUACGCGCUGUUACAUGGUAUAUCAAUUUUUUUGUAAUUAAUAAACUACGUACUUUAUUCUUCGAACAUUACCACACGUACAAUUAACGUGCUAAAAGUUAUAAAAUGUCCUCUCUCUCGUCCGAGGCUGUGUCGCCGCGAAGCUCGGGUUGUUGUUAUCAUCGAUUGUGUCCAGAAUGCUGCUAUUUCAUACUGACCGUGUGGUAGUCUUCGGCUAGAUGUAUGCACCUUGCGGCGGCUUGUAGCGCGCUCGGGGGCAAGUGGUCACCGCGACACACGCGCAGGG